CAUUACCGAGCGAGGGCCUCCGGGUCCGACCCCCAACCCUUUGUCGUUAAUCUCUGUUGCCUCGGGGGCGACCCGGCCUCCGCGUCGGGGCCCCCGGUGGACCCCCCAAUCAAACUCUGCGUCCAUGCGUCGGAGUCGCAAGUAAAUGUAAUCAAAACUUUCAACAACGGAUCUCUUGGUUCUGGCAUCGAUGAAGAACGCAGCGAAAUGCGAUAAGUAAUGUGAAUUGCAGAAUUCAGUGAAUCAUCGAAUCUUUGAACGCACAUUGCGCCCUCUGGUAUUCCGGGGGGCAUGCCCGUUCGAGCGUCAUUUCACCACUCAAGCCUCGCUUGGUAUUGGGCGCCGGGUGAUGCACCCGCGCCUCGAUUUCACCGGCUGGACCGUCCGAUCCUCAGCGUAUGCAAUCAUUCCGCUACAGGACCUCGGAGGGCCCGCGCCGUUAAACUCUUUAUCACAGGUUGACCUCGGAUCGGGUAGGGAUACCCGCUGAACUUAAGCAUAUCAAUAAGCGGAGGAAAGGAAACCAACAGGGAUUGCCCUAGUAACGGCGAGUGAAGCGGCAACAGCUCAAAUUUGAAAUCUGGCGCAAGCCCGAGUUGUAAUUUGGAGAGGAUGCUUCGGGGCAGCGGCCGGUCUAAGUUCCUUGGAACAGGACGUCGCAGAGGGUGAGAAUCCCGUAUGUGACCGGUUGGCACCCCACACGUAGCUCCUUCGACGAGUCGAGUUGUUUGGGAAUGCAGCUCUAAAUGGGAGGUAAAUUUCUUCUAAAGCUAAAUACCGGCCAGAGACCGAUAGCGCACAAGUAGAGUGAUCGAAAGAUGAAAAGCACUUUGGAAAGAGAGUUAAAAAGCACGUGAAAUUGUUGAAAGGGAAGCGCUUGCAACCAGACUUGUCAUCGGUGUUCCGCCGGUCUUCUGACCGGUCCACUCAUCGUCGACAGGCCAGCAUCGUCUGGUGCCGCCGGAUAAAGGUCGAGGGA
rnacentral:rRNA from 1 species